GGGGCUGACCUGGUUUUGACAUCAAGUUGAAUUGACUUGCAAGCAUGUCGAGCAUUUGAAUUAAGCUCGUUAAACUUAGUUCUUACUUUUAUAAACGGCGAAAAUAAUUACGCACUCGCAGCUUAGUAUCGCAUAGCGAACUUGCUUAAUUUCUACACCUAGGUGUGUGGAAACGAGUUAUCUCGUAAAUUGUUCUUCUCAAUUACAAUUUACACUGAGGUACCAUCUUAAUUGAGAUAGCUUAAUUAGUGUUUCGAUAAUUAGGCGAAAUUAAGAAACUAAGGAGUUGUUAGGUCGCUUUUUGCCGGACUGCUCUCGAAAAUUAAUAAAAAGCUAAGCAUGUAGAAAACAUUUUGGUCCCUUGUUUGGACCGGGGUUCGACUCCCCGCAGCUCCACAA
rnacentral:tmRNA from 1 species